GACAGAGGAGCCAAGCGUUGUCCGGACUGACUGGGCGUAAAGAGCGCGCAGGCGGUCGUUCAAGUCGCGUGUGAAAGCCCCCGGCUCAACUGGGGAGGGUCACGCGAUACUGAUCGACUCGAAGGCAGGAGAGGGAAGUGGAAUUCCCGGUGUAGUGGUGAAAUGCGUAGAUAUCGGGAGGAACACCAGCGGCGAAGGCGACUUCCUGGCCUGUUCUUGACGCUGAGGCGCGAAAGCUAGGGGAGCAAACGGG
rnacentral:rRNA from 1 species